AGAGUUUGAUCCUGGCUCAGGAUGAACGCUGGCGGCGUGCUUAACACAUGCAAGUCGAACGGUGAAGCCAAGCUUGCUUGGUGGAUCAGUGGCGAACGGGUGAGUAACACGUGAGCAACCUGCCCUGGACUCUGGGAUAAGCGCUGGAAACGGCGUCUAAUACUGGAUAUGAGCUCUCAUCGCAUGGUGGGGGUUGGAAAGAUUUUUUGGUCUGGGAUGGGCUCGCGGCCUAUCAGCUUGUUGGUGAGGUAAUGGCUCACCAAGGCGUCGACGGGUAGCCGGCCUGAGAGGGUGACCGGCCACACUGGGACUGAGACACGGCCCAGACUCCUACGGGAGGCAGCAGUGGGGAAUAUUGCACAAUGGGCGGAAGCCUGAUGCAGCAACGCCGCGUGAGGGAUGACGGCCUUCGGGUUGUAAACCUCUUUUAGCAGGGAAGAAGCGAGAGUGACGGUACCUGCAGAAAAAGCGCCGGCUAACUACGUGCCAGCAGCCGCGGUAAUACGUAGGGCGCAAGCGUUAUCCGGAAUUAUUGGGCGUAAAGAGCUCGUAGGCGGUUUGUCGCGUCUGCUGUGAAAUCCCGAGGCUCAACCUCGGGCCUGCAGUGGGUACGGGCAGACUAGAGUGCGGUGGGGGGAGAUUGGAAUUCCUGGUGUAGCGGUGGAAUGCGCAGAUAUCAGGAGGAACACCGAUGGCGAAGGCAGAUCUCUGGGCCGUAACUGACGCUGAGGAGCGAAAGGGUGGGGGAGCAAACAGGCUUAGAUACCCUGGUAGUCCACCCCGUAAAACGUUGGGAACUAGUUGUGGGGACCAUUCCACGGGUUUCCGUGACGCAGCUAACGCAUUAAGUUCCCCGCCUGGGGGAGUACGGCCGCAAGGCUAAAACUCAAAGGAAUUGACGGGGACCCGCACAAGCGGCGGAGCAUGCGGAUUAAUUCGAUGCAACGCGAAGAACCUUACCAAGGCUUGACAUACACCAGAACAUCGUAGAAAUACGGGACUCUUUGGACACUGGUGAACAGGUGGUGCAUGGUUGUCGUCAGCUCGUGUCGUGAGAUGUUGGGUUAAGUCCCGCAACGAGCGCAACCCUCGUUCUAUGUUGCCAGCACGUAAUGGUGGGAACUCAUGGGAUACUGCCGGGGUCAACUCGGAGGAAGGUGGGGAUGACGUCAAAUCAUCAUGCCCCUUAUGUCUUGGGCUUCACGCAUGCUACAAUGGCCGGUACAAAGGGCUGCAAUACCGUGAGGUGGAGCGAAUCCCAAAAAGCCGGUCCCAGUUCGGAUUGAGGUCUGCAACUCGACCUCAUGAAGUCGGAGUCGCUAGUAAUCGCAGAUCAGCAACGCUGCGGUGAAUACGUUCCCGGGUCUUGUACACACCGCCCGUCAAGUCAUGAAAGUCGGUAACACCUGAAGCCGGUGGCCUAACCCUUGUGGAGGGAGCCGUCGAAGGUGGGAUCGGUAAUUAGGACUAAGUCGUAACAAGGUAACC
rnacentral:rRNA from 1 species